rnacentral:misc_RNA from 1 species
GAGAAGAACGCAGCGAAAUGCGAUACGUAAUGUGAAUUGCAAAUUCAGUGAAUCAUCGAGUCUUUGAACGCACAUUGCGCCCCCUGGUAUUCCGGGGGGCAUGCCUGUCCGAGCGUCAUUGCUGCCCUCAAGCACGGCUUGUGUGUUGGGCCCCGUCCUCCGAUCCCGGGGGACGGGCCCGAAAGGCAGCGGCGGCACCGCGUCCGGUCCUCGAGCGUAUGGGGCUUUGUCACCCGCUCUGUAGGCCCGGCCGGCGCUUGCCGAUCAACCCAAAUUUUUAUCCAGGUUGACCUCGGAUCAGGUAGGGAUACCCGCUGAACUUAAGCAUAUCAAUAAGCGGAGGA